UGGGGAAUAUUGCGCAAUGGCCGCAAGGCUGACGCAGCGACGCCGUGUGUGGGAUGAAGGCUUUCGGGUUGUAAACCACUGUCAGGAGGGAAGAAUACUCGGCGUUUACGCGACCGAGGGUGACGGUACCUCCAAAGGAAGCGCCGGCUAACUCCGUGCCAGCAGCCGCGGUAACACGGAGGGCGCGAGCGUUGUUCGGAAUCACUGGGCGUAAAGCGCACGUAGGCGGUUGUGUAAGUCACUUGUGAAAACUCGGGGCUCAACUCCGAGACGCCAUGUGAGACUGCACGGCUAGAGCGCGGUAGAGGCAAGUGGAAUUCCCGGUGUGGCGGUGGAAUGCGUAGAUAUCGGGAAGAACACCAGUGGCGAAGGCGGCUUGCUGGGCCGUUGCUGACGCUGAGGUGCGAAAGCGUGGGGAGCAA
rnacentral:rRNA from 1 species